UGGCGGACGGGUGAGUAACGCGUAAAGAACUUGCCCUUUAGACUGGGAUAACAGAGGGAAACUUCUGAUAAUACUGGAUAAGUUAGUAUAUCGCAUGAUAUGCAAAUGAAAGCUACGGCACUAAAGGAGAGCUUUGCGUCCUAUUAGCUAGUUGGUAAGGUAAGAGCUUACCAAGGCGAUGAUAGGUAGCCGGCCUGAGAGGGUGGACGGCCACAAGGGGACUGAGAUACGGCCCAGACUCCUACGGGAGGCAGCAGAC
rnacentral:rRNA from 1 species